rnacentral:rRNA from 1 species
CCGUGUACGUACAAGCAGUGGGAGCACCCUUUGGGGUGUGACUGCGUACCUUUUGUAUAAUGGGUCAGCGACUUAUAUUCUGUAGCAAGGUUAACCGAAUAGGGGAGCCGGAGGGAAACCGAGUCUUAAUUGGGCGUUAAGUUGCAGGGUAUAGACCCGAAACCCGGUGAUCUAGCCAUGGGCAGGUUGAAGGUUGGGUAACACUAACUGGAGGACCGAACCGACUAAUGUUGAAAAAUUAGCGGAUGACCUGUGGCUGGGGGUGAAAGGCCAAUCAAACCGGGAGAUAGCUGGUUCUCCCCGAAAGCUAUUUAGGUAGCGCCUCGUGAAUUCAUCUCCGGGGGUAGAGCACUGUUUCGGCUAGGGGGCCAUCCCGGCUUACCAACCCGAUGCAAACUGCGAAUACCGGAGAAUGUUAUCACGGGAGACACACGGCGGGUGCUAACGUCCGUCGUGAAGAGGGAAACAACCCAGACCGCCAGCUAAGGUCCCAAAGUCAUGGUUAAGUGGGAAACGAUGUGGGAAGGCCCAGACAGCCAGGAUGUUGGCUUAGAAGCAGCCAUCAUUUAAAGAAAGCGUAAUAGCUCACUGGUCGAGUCGGCCUGCGCGGAAGAUGUAACGGGGCUAAACCAUGCACCGAAGCUGCGGCAGCGACGUUUAUGCGUUGUUGGGUAGGGGAGCGUUCUGUAAGCCUGCGAAGGUGGCCUGUGAGGGUUGCUGGAGGUAUCAGAAGUGCGAAUGCUGACAUAAGUAACGAUAAAGCGGGUGAAAAGCCCGCUCGCCGGAAGACCAAGGGUUCCUGUCCAACGUUAAUCGGGGCAGGGUGAGUC